rnacentral:rRNA from 1 species
UACAGAGACUGCAAGCGUUAUUCGGAUUCACUGGGCGUAAAGGGUGCGCAGGCGGCCAAGUGUGUGAGGCGUGAAAGCCUGGGGCUUAACUCCAGAAUUGCACCUCAAACUACAUGGCUAGAGCAUUGGAGAGGGUGGCAGAAUUCACGGUGUAGCAGUGAAAUGCGUAGAUAUCGUGAGGAAUACCAGAGGCGAAGGCGGCUACCUGGACAAUUGCUGACGCUCAGGCACGAAAGCGUGGGGAGCAAAAGGG